rnacentral:rRNA from 1 species
UAACCUACGGGACGCAGCAGUGGGGAAUAUUGCACAAUAGGCGAAAGCCUGAUGCAGCAACGCCGCGUGAACGAUGAAGGCCUUCGGGUCGUAAAGCUCUGUCCUCAAGGAAGAUAAUGACGGUACUUGAGGAGGAAGCCCCGGCUAACUACGUGCCAGCAGCCGCGGUAAUACGUAGGGGGCUAGCGUUAUCCGGAAUUACUGGGCGUAAAGGGUGAGUAGGUGGUUUCUUAAGUCAGAGGUGAAAGGCUACGGCUCAACCGUAGUAAGCCUUUGAAACUGGGAA